rnacentral:rRNA from 1 species
AUUGAACGCUGGCGGCAGGCCUAACACAUGCAAGUCGAGCGGAGCGGCGGACGGGUGAGUAAUGCCUAGGAAUCUGCCUGGUAGUGGGGGAUAACGUCCGGAAACGGGCGCUAAUACCGCAUACUAUCAGAUGAGCCUAGGUCGGAUUAGCUAGUUGGUGGGGUAAAGGCCUACCAAGGCGACGAUCCGUAACUGGUCUGAGAGGAUGAUCAGUCACACGUGUACGGAGACAGGUCCUAAACUCCUAAGUGAGGCAGAAGUGGGAAAUAUUGGACAAGGGGCAAAAGCGGAAACCAGCCAUGCGGGGUGGGUGAGGAGGGUCUUCGUAUUGUAAAGGACUUUAAUGUGGGAGGCGUUACCAAAAGAAUAAGCACCGGCUAACUCCGUGCCAGCCGCCGCGGUAAUAC